CAAAGGAAGCGAUUCCGACGGGGGAUGGGCAUGCGGCGCAUUAGCUAGUCGGCGGGGUAACGGCCCACCGAGGCGACGAUGCGUAGGGGUUCUGAGAGGAAGGUCCCCCACACUGGUACUGAGACACGGACCAGACUCCUACGGGAGGCAGCAGUGAGGAAUAUUGGUCAAUGGGCGGGAGCCUGAACCAGCCAAGUCGCGUGAGGGAAGACGGUCCUAUGGAUUGUAAACCUCUUUUGCCGGGGAGCAACGGGGUCCUUGCGAGGGCCUAAUGAGAGUACCCGGAGAAAAAGCAUCGGCUAACUCCGUGCCAGCAGCCGCGGUAAUACGGAGGAUGCGAGCGUUAUCCGGAUUUAUUGGGUUUAAAGGGUGCGUAGGCGGGCUGUUAAGUCAGCGGUCAAAUGUCGGGGCUCAACCCCGGCCUGCCGUUGAAACUGGUGGCCUCGAGUGGGCGAGAAGUAUGCGGAAUGCGUGGUGUAGCGGUGAAAUGCAUAGAUAUCACGCAGAACUCCGAUUGCGAAGGCAGCAUACCGGCGCCCGACUGACGCUGAGGCACGAAAGCGUGGGUAUCGAACAGGAUUAGAUACCCUGGUAGUCCACGCAGUAAACGAUGAAUGCUAGCUGUCCGGGGCUUCGGCUCUGG
rnacentral:rRNA from 1 species